rnacentral:snRNA from 1 species
AUAUUUUGAUUUGUCUUCAGAUCGUAUAAAUCUUUUGCCUUUUAGUAAAGAUUUCAGUGGAGGGGAACAUUUAUGAGUUUGUACCUAAUUUUCUGAAGUCCU